rnacentral:rRNA from 1 species
UACGUAGGGGGCGAGCGUUGUCCGGAAUCAUUGGGCGUAAAGAGCGUGUAGGCGGCCCGAUAAGUCUGGUGUGAAAUCUUGAGGCUCAACCUCAAGCUGUCAUCGGAUACUGUCGGGCUAGAGUCCGGAAGAGGAGAGUGGAAUUCCUGGUGUAGCGGUGGAAUGCGCAGAUAUCAGGAGGAGCAUCCGUGGCGAAGGCGGCUCUCUGGUACGGUACUGACGCUGAGACGCGAAAGCGUGGGGAGCGAACAGG